rnacentral:rRNA from 1 species
GACGAACGCUGGCGGCGUGCUUAACACAUGCAAGUCGAACGAAGAGCGAUGGAAGCUUGCUUCUAUCAAUCUUAGUGGCGAACGGGUGAGUAACGCGUAAUCAACCUGCCCUUCAGAGGGGGACAACAGUUGGAAACGACUGCUAAUACCGCAUACGAUCCGACCUCGGCAUCGAGGAUGGAUGAAAGGUGGCCUCUAUUUAUAAGCUAUCACUGAAGGAGGGGAUUGCGUCUGAUUAGCUAGUUGGAGGGGUAACGGCCCACCAAGGCAAUGAUCAGUAGCCGGUCUGAGAGGAUGAACGGCCACAUUGGGACUGAGACACGGCCCAGACUCCUACGGGAGGCAGCAGUGGGGAAUCUUUCGCAAUGGACGAAAGUCUGACGGAGCAACGCCGCGUGAGUGAUGACGGCCUUCGGGUUGUAAAGCUCUGUUAAUCGGGACGAAAGGUCUUCUUGCGAAUAGUUAGAAGAAUUGACGGUACCGGAAUAGAAAGCCACGGCUAACUACGUG